UACAGAGGGUGCUAGCGUUGUUCGGAAUCACUGGGCGUAAAGGGCGCGUAGGCGGGAUGGCAAGUCAGUCGUGAAAUCUCUCGGCUCAACCGAGAAACGUCGGCUGAUACUGCCGUUCUUGAGGGAUGCAGAGGAGACUGGAAUUCCCGGUGUAGCGGUGAAAUGUGUAGAGAUCGGGAGGAACACCGGUGGCGAAGGCGGGUCUCUGGGCAUUUCCUGACGCUGAGGCGCGAAAGCGUGGGGAGCAAACAGG
rnacentral:rRNA from 1 species